rnacentral:rRNA from 1 species
AGAGUUUGAUCCUGGCUCAGAAUCAACGCUGGCGGCGUGCCUAACACAUGCAAGUCGCACGAGAAAGCGGGGGCAACCCCGUGAGUACAGUGGCGUACGGGUGAGUAACACGUGACUAACCUACCUUCGAGUGGGGAAUAACCUCGGGAAACCGGGGCUAAUACCGCAUAACACCGAGAGGUCAAAGCAGUAAUGCGCUU